AACAGUUGGUGUCAACGUUGAAUCCAGGACCUAGGAACUGGGUGGUGAAACACAAGCCUGCCUCGGUAGAGGGCGCUGUUACUUUACUAGAGGACUAUCUAGGAGCAGAAGAUCCAUGGUCAAACCGCCCUCCAGCAGGGGGAGAGAAACCCUGGAGCAGAGAGAAGAUGGCGGAGGCAGCGAACGUCGGAGCUUCACGAGGGAACCAGGCCGCAGUCCCCAAAAAGCAAGGCCCCGAUCGCAUAGAAUACGUCAACCCGACGGGAUCGCGGAUCCCCCGCCCAACAAUAACAACAGACCCGGCGAAGAGCAAGUUAGCACCCACCUGGAACCAGGGAAAGGAGAAAAUGGCGGCCUGCUUCGGGUGUGGACAGUUUGGCCACAUUAGGAAAUUCUGCCCGGCCGAAGAAUACGCGUCGACGAACAUCUACGCAAACGCGGCCAAGGUGGGUGAGAAGUGCCAUCCCGGGUGGGUAGUGAUGGCUGAGGUCAACGGACAGAGGAAAUGGGCCCUGAUAGACACGGGGUGCCCCCGAUCCCUAGUGAGAGAGUUAGAAGGCCCGAGACUGGGGGAGACGGUGGUGGUGAGGUGCAUCCACGGAGAUGCGAAGGAGUACGAUACAGCCAGGGCGAAUGUGACUAUUGGGACUCAAGAAGCAAUACUGGAGGUGGGUGUAGUCCCUGGCUUGACCCGAGAGAUGCUGUUGGGCAGGGACUGGCCAGGCCUGGAGGACUUGGCACGGAAAGCGGAAGACGGAUACGUGGGUGAAAAGGACAGGGGAGAAGGGGAAGGAGAAGUGAUGCAGCUUUCCAGAGAUCAAUUAAGGGGCCUGCAGCAAGAUGAUCCUUCCCUGGGACCCUGGAUUCAGAGGGCCACCCCUGAGGGAGACACCCCGGUGAAUGGAGAGGGGUUCGAACUACGCAAGGGUCUACUAUACCACGUACACCGAGGGGAACAGGGCGAAGAGACGGCUCUGGUGGUCCCAGAACAUUUAAGGGGUUGGGUAAUGCAUUGGGCACAUGAUUUACCAGUGGCCGGACAUUUGGCAAUGCAGAAAACCCUAGCCCGUAUUCGACAAAGAUUUUC
rnacentral:lncRNA from 1 species